AGCUAGUUGACGAGUCCCAAAUAGGACGAAAUGUGGGUUGUCGUGGAU
rnacentral:hammerhead_ribozyme from 1 species